AAAAAAUAUAUAUCAUUAUUUUAUUAUUAUUAUUAAUAUUAGUUAUUAUUUUAUAUAUCAUAUAUUACAUUAAAAUAGAUAUCAUAAGUAAAGAAGAAAAAGAUACUCUAAUGUAGUUUUACAGAUUUCAUUCCUUCAAUUGCUUUCUCAUAAACGAUGUCCUUCAAACUAACUUUGCCAGUAAAACAAUCUUUAAUGACAGCAAUUUGGCCAAUUUGAUGACCAGAUUGAUGUUGGUUCAGAAAGAGCGUCACUAAUGUCCAGGAAAAUAUUGUCUCAACCUUCUUCCUGUGUAUACAAGAGAGAAAGAAAAAGUAUCCGAAAAUAGGGAAUUCAGGGAGGGAAAAAAGAAACAUAUUUUUCCAAUUUUAUGACGACGAAGACAUUUUUUAACCCGCCUUCCCCCUUUAUAAUAUCACGUGACGGAAGAGAGAGAGAAGCGAUGUGAUCGUCAAGUAAGGUCGAUCCGGUUGCGCCUGAAAACAGUUGACAGAAGGCACGCUGAUGGAGGUGGAAGGACUUACUGAUGCUUUCUUGGUGUUUGAAGUGAGUGUUUUUACUAUUUAUGUGUAAUUUUAUUAGAGCGCAAAAAACUCGAACACUCGAGAUCACGUGAAUGAAUUCUCAUUAUAGUGCAAUAGCGUAUUAGAAGCGAAAAGAAUGUAAAAUUUAAUUUUUUCUGAAUAUAUAAUUUAAAAAGCAGUAUAAACAGAAUUUAAACUUAUUCUACGAAUAUAGUUAAUUUAAACAUUUAAUUUUCUUUUAUUAAUAUUACACAAGAAUAUUCAAAUUAGCUUUCUCUACCUAUACAAAUUGGGUGUGCUUUGUAUAAGAAAGGUCAGAUACACUAACCUAAUUUUGAAUUAUUCUGAAAACAAGGUUAAAUUUUUACAGAAAGAACAUAUAGUGUUUUAUCGCUCUUAAGUAAAAAAAAUAAUAUCUAAUCGGUCUAUGUUGAUAAUACAGACACGAAUUAGUAUCAGUAUUUGGCGUGGGUGAUGAACAAAACUAGCCGUUACGCAACUAGACAAGAUAUUUCGUUUAUGAAUAAUUUACCCCGAACUUUGCAAUUUUACCGAAGCUAAGAACUUAAUCGCCUCGAUAAAUUAUGCAACCUUAUCUCUAUUAACAGCUGCCUUAUUACUAUAAUUAAUUAUAUGGAAAUUCUUGGCAAAUUGAUAUUUGAAAUUUUUUCUGAAAGAAAUUUUGUAUGCACUCUGCUGUAAUGUUUAGAUAAUAUCGUUCUUUUGUCGAAUGAUGGGAAAGCAUCUCUCGAUACACCAGGAGAAAUACUUGUAUAAAAAGGAGUUUGUUUUUUUAAUCUUGAAUAAAAACAUUCUUCAGCCAUCCCCCUUUACUUAAAGUGUCCUUAAUACCGUCUCGGGGUCAAAGUUCUUUAUACAUACACACACUGAGGAGGACGAAAACUUAUUUAUGAUUGCAUGUAUUCGCACAAGCAUUCCUUACGGUUAAUAUACAGAGGAAAAUAAUUUUUUUGUUAUGCACCUGUAAUUCUCUAGAAAAUUUUAAAUUUUGUCUAAAGGAAGACCACUUAAAUCUGAUUGAACUAUUAAUCAUAGUAUUGCGCCUUAUCUUUGACAAGCACUCUCUUUUCUCUUCUUGUAUAUCAAAGAUAUAAGUCGAUUUUUCACUAGUAUGUCGUGAUACCAGAGUCGAGGCGACGGUAUGCCAAUUGUCGGUUUCCUUUUUUAUUGUUUAGGAAGUAAAAUUGUAAACUUCCUGUGUUACUUAGAAUCUGAUACUUUUUUUUUAUUAUAGACAGAAAAUACAUUUUUCGUGUGUUUUGUUUUGUCUAGACGAAAUAAAUUUGUUUUUAAGCAAGCUUUCCAUCAUUUUUCUAUUAUUUUUGCGCGUCAUAUACCAAAAAAUUUCCACGAAUUUAUAGUACGGUAUGUAUGUGUUCAUUUAUCGAUUUAUUCUAAACACGAAUCAUUAAUGUAAUUAGUGUUCCUAAUGUUUCAUUUCGGUUAUAUUCUAUUUCCAAGAGGGAGAAAACACGAGUAGAACUUCCGUCUGAGAAAUCCGAUUUCUGAAUUCCGCGGGGUCAAGGAUUUAAAACGGAUCACGUGUUCGACAACGUAGUAUGUUCGGGACUAAAAUAUUCAAAUAUAAUCGAUUUCGUGCAUUCCGAACAUAAUGAGUUAUGAUGUAAUAGAAAUAUUGCAUUUUUCAAAGAAAAUUUUAAUUAUGUCAAUUAAUUACUUCAUUAGAGAGAUUGAUGUGUUGUACAAGACUAACAGGGCAGAGGUGAGGUCGUGCGACUCGUAUUACAGGUGGACUUGUCGGCCUAGUCACGUGUGUAAAAAAAAUUCGAGAAAUUCGAGAGAUGUGUUUACAUAUUAAGGCAGCCAUUAUUCUUUAGGGAUUUUAAGCUAAACAUCCAUUAAUUUAUUCUCGGGCAGGUGACUAUAGCGUUAGUUCAGGAAAUCACGUGACUGGUUAAUUGCACCGUGUUUAUUCUGAGUGAGUUCAUGCAGAAAUGCUGCUGUAUACAUUUCAAGCGUGAUUAACUGCAGAAUGAAGAAUACAGACAACGAAUAUUUACCCAAGAACCAAAUUAGGAAUAUUUAAUGCGGUUGUUCAUAUUUAAUAAUCGUCAAAAGCUAUAAACGGAUUUGCUGAACUUGUAAGGCUUUUUAUGUACUCAAGAUAUUGUGCAAGCAAAAUAUUCAGAAUAUUAUUAUUUAGGACACGCGAGAGAGGUUUUUUGCCAUCAUCAUCGUCGGGCUAGGGUGAUUUAUCGCGUGUAAUCCUUUACCAUAAAGUAUAAUAAAAAAUUGAAAAUGUCAACCGUAAAUUUGUCAACCAUUGUAGGCACUCGCUCUGUUAUCUUUUUGAAUGCUGUCGUUUGUCUUAUUUUUUCGUUUGUUUAUAGAUCUCCUGUCGAAUCUGUCAGUUCUCUCUUUCGCUAGUCCUCCUCUCGAAUAGAUCUGUAUCUUGUUACAUUUUCCACUAUCGAAAUGUAUUUAAUUCUCUAGUGAAACGUGUCAGUUUCCAUUACGUUUAUUCUCGAUAAUCCUCUUCUCAGUCAAAAUAUGAUGCUCCUUUAUGUUUUUUCCCUUCUCGUAAUCAGCGCGUUCAACUUAUAAUCAACAAAAAUAGUGACU
rnacentral:lncRNA from 1 species